GCAAAACACGCACUCUCGGUCCGUUUUGCUUAUGAACCCUAGCCUUGCGCCCACAGCUUUAUGAACCCGUUUGACACACCUGAAUCCCUUACAUUGCAACACCCUACCUGUUGUUCUUCCAUUGAAGUGGACAAGGUGGACUUCACAACUCCAACUUCCCUACUCAACCUAACAUUUCGUGAAGAAAGAGAUUGAGCUCAUUUCACAUAAACGAGGCCUAGCUAGCCUCUUCUCCUUCCAAUCAACCCCACGACGUUGAGGAACUUCCCAGCUCGAACUUCCAAGUUCGUGAACAAAUUAGUUUGCAUUAAGGAGUGGUAGUUUGUCAACAAGGACAUUGGAGUCACUGCAAAGAAACCAAGGAAGAUAUUCGAACAACAGCUGAUACCUACUUCACUGGGCUGCAAACGGCUAUCUACACAUUGUUGUGGUUUCUGUGGCUGCAAUUUACAAGUUCUGUAUUGGACAAUUCACACUUUGUUGGUUAACCCACGAGAAAACUGAUAGUAUUUGAAGCUUCCAUUACCGCAACCAUCUA